rnacentral:snRNA from 1 species
GUGUUUGCUUCAACACACAUAACCAAAAUUGGAACAGUGCGGAGAUGAUUAGCAUUGCCCUGCACAGGAGGACACUCACGACUGUGAAGCAUUCCACAUUUUU